rnacentral:rRNA from 1 species
GGUGAACGCUGGCGACGUGGAUAAGGCAUGCAAGUCAAGGGGCCGCAAGGCACCGGCGAACGAGGUAGUAAUACACAGGUAGACACCGAAAAGCCGAGCAUAGCUCGUCGAAAGACGGGGUAAUUCUCGAUAGUCCCUCCGGGGUAAAGGAGCAAUCCGCUUUUUGAGUUGCCUGUGCCGCAUCAGCUUGUUGGUAGGGUAACGGCCUACCAAGGCUACGACGCGUAGGGGACCUGAGAGGGUGACCCUCACCGAUGGUACUGAGACACGGACCAUACACCUACGGGUGGCUGCAGUCGAGAAUCUUCCGCAAUGGACGAAAGUCUGACGGAGCGACGUCGCGUGCUGGAUGAAGUCUUUCGGGACGUAAACAGCUUUUAUGUAUGAGGAAGUUUUGACGUUAGUACAUGAAUAAGGGGCUCCUAACUCUGUGCCAGCAGGAGCGGUAAUACAGAGGCCCCAAGCGUUACCCGGAAUUAUUGGGCGUAAAGGGUGUGUAGGCGGUUAUGUUAGUCUUCCGUAAAAGCUCUGGGGCUUAACCCCGGAAGUGCGGAGGAAACGGCAUGGCUUCGAGGGCGCGAGAGGUACAGGGAACUCAUGGUGUAGGGGUGAAAUCCGUUGAUAUCAUGGGGAACACCAAAUGCGAAGGCACUGUACUGGCGCGUUUCUGACGCUGAGACACGAAAGCGUGGGUAGCGAAUGGGAUUAGAUACCCCAGUAGUCCACGCCCUAAACGAUCAUCACUGGCUUUACGGAGUAUCGACCCUCUGUGAGGCGAAGCCAACGCGUUAAGUGAUGCGCCUGGGUAGUACGGCCGCAAGGCUAAAACUCAAAGGAAUAGACGGGGACUUGCACAAGCGGUGGAUCAUGCGGCUUAAUUCGAUGACAAACGAAGAACCCCACCAGGGUUUGAAACCUAGACGAAAGCUCCCAGAAACGGGAGCCCCCGCAAGGCGGCUGGGCAGGUGAUGCAUGGUCGUCGUCAGUUCGUGGCUUGAGUUGUUCCCUUCAGUGGGGUAACGAACGCAACCCUCGUUGCCUGUUUUAUAUGUCAGGCGAGACUGCCCCCUCACGGGGGAGGAAGGUGAGGAUGACGCCAGAUCAGCAUGUCCCUUUGAUACCCUGGGCUGCACGCAUGAUACAAUGGGCGCGACAACGCGUUGCGACGUAGUAAUACCGAGCUAAUCGUUAAACGCGCCCCCAGUUCGGAUUGAGGUCUGCAACUCGACCUCAUGAAGCCGGAAUCGCUAGUAAUCGCGGGUCAGCUAUACCGCGGUGAAUACGUUCUCAAGUCU